rnacentral:lncRNA from 1 species
AAAGGAUGCAAAGGAUGAAGAAGCAUGCUCAAUGAACAGGAGCAUGUUGUAGAGGAUUGUCAGCUAAGCACAGAGGAGAGACAAUAAUGAAGGCAGAAGGCAGGUUGGGAGAACUUUCCCAGGACAGAGCAUGAGUUAAGCUGCCAGGAAGAGGACCACAGAUGCAGCACCAGAGAUAUUUUCUGUAAUGGUAGACAGCCCCGAGCAUACUCUACAUGGAAACAAUCUUCUUAACCUCUCUCAGUUUCAGACAGCAUUGUUGAUUCAGUAGUUUCUGAGAACCCAAACUUGGUAGAGUCCUGGGUUCCUCCUUUCCUGGAUCUUAUGUCUGAAGAGUCUCCAGCCAAUAUCCUCAUGGUCUGUUUCCUUCACUCCUGCUUCCAGGAUACAGAGAACACCUAGGGAAACUCUCAAGACUCUGUCAUGGGUCCAUUCAGCACACAAGCUCCUCUGGUAUUUGGCAAACUGCAGUCAUCAGUGCCCUGGCUGUAACGGCUCCUUUGUCCCUGCAGCUUUCCAUAACAGCUCUGCCUCCAGUUUCACUGAGAAAACAGAAGGAGCACCUGCCUUAAGCCUUCCUCCUAUCAAGGGACUCUCUCUUCACAGGGCUCCAUCACCUUCUUCCCUCCUUCCCUGUAUGUCUGUCUUUGCUCCUGCUGACCCCUUCCCACCAUCCUCUCGGCAGUGACUCCCUCUAGACUCUUGUUCCCCACCAGGUGUGUCCCUCUUGACACCAAAUGCAGGUGAACCACCUCUUAUCCAAAAUGCUUGGGACCAGAAGUGCUUCUGAUUUUAAGACUUUUUAUAAUUUCAAACUAUUUGCAUAGAGUUACCAUCAUGUCAGCACUCAAAAAUUUCAGAUGCUGGAACAUUUUAGAUUGGGAAUUUUCUGAUCAAGGUUGCUCAAUCUGUACCAUCCCAAAAGAGCUUCAUUCUAGCCAGAAACUGUUGUCCCUCUAUUGGACUCCCUUUCAGCUUCUCUUUUCUUUAUUUCAGUGUCAGAUUCACUCUAGUAGUUGGUAGUUGAACUCUCAUUUUCCUCCUCCUACUUGGUUGCUUAAGUCUCAGUCCAAUUCCAGCGAGCAUUGUCGUCAGCCUCCACUGUGUGACUCUGGUAGCCUUGUUCUCUUUUGUGAAAUGCUGGAUCCUUUGACUUCUUUUAUGUGAUUCUUAGAUCAUUCCUAGACCUUCGUAGUCUCCCUUUAUGAAUGUCUUUCCUCCUACCAACCAAUGGACUUACCUUGAGGUUCUGCCUUGGUCCUCCACACUGUCUCCCUCAGGAACUUCAUCCACAUCAUGCUUUCCACACAUAAGUGGCUUCUGCAUGUAAAACUGCAGUGUGGGCUUCUCUUUUGAUAUCAUUCCCUUUAGUCAUUCUGGCUUCAUCUUAAACUCAGGAACUGAAGCAAACUUUCCAUCUUCAACAUGGGUAUUUGGGGUCAGGAACCUGGGAGAACAGGAAAGAGAAGCCCCUGCCCCUUCCUUUGCUAUUUUGUAUAUGGCAAAUAAAGUAGAUGAAGAAGGAAAUAUAUAUCCAUGUGCUGGGCUCAUUUCAUAGGAAGCCAACCCCAAAUUAAUCUCUGUUGACACUGUGUACUUCCUGAAAAUUCUUGGUUAAUCAUACUAUUUUCUCAACAACAGCUGUGUUUGUGCAAGAGAAGACCCAAUGUUCUAAUGGCUUAUUGGGAAUUUCUGCUUAUGUAAGUCAAAACUCAGAUGUGCUAAGUGUAUUGACAUGCUUAAUAACUUCAUUGAACUAUGAGUGUAAAAUAUAUUGUAAAUGGAUUUCAGUACACUUUUAAGAAUAAAUUUUAUGAAACAUGUAUGAAAGCAA